AGCCUCGUGUGUUUUAGGUGGGGUUGACAGUGCCGUUUCUAAUAAAUUACAGAUUUGUGCAAGUUCAGUGUAAGAGGUACUUCAGGAGAGGUGAAAUCAGGACUGGAAGUGAGAUUUCUUGCUGAUUCUGGAGAGUUUAGCUGUUGCAUCUGCCAUCCAGACACCUGCUUUUAACCACUGAGAACCACAGUCACUGGAAUCAGCAAUGGCUCCUUUGAGGUCUGGAGCACAGGGAAACCAGUCCUGGACCCGCACUUCAUCGAGUCGCACCAGCGCGUGUGCACUUAUAAUGAAACUCGGUUAGAGACGGU